UGAGGAAUAUUGGUCAAUGGGUGCAAGCCUGAACCAGCCAUCCCGCGUGAAGGACGACUGCCCUAUGGGUUGUAAACUUCUUUUGUAUAGGGAUAAACCUACCCUCGUGAGGGUAGCUGAAGGUACUAUACGAAUAAGCACCGGCUAACUCCGUGCCAGCAGCCGCGGUAAUACGGAGGGUGCAAGCGUUAUCCGGAUUUAUUGGGUUUAAAGGGUCCGUAGGCGGACUUAUAAGUCAGUGGUGAAAGCCUGUCGCUUAACGAUAGAACUGCCAUUGAUACUGUAAGCCUUGAGUAUAUUUGAGGUAGCUGGAAUAAGUAGUGUAGCGGUGAAAUGCAUAGAUAUUACUUAGAACACCAAUUGCGAAGGCAGGUUACCAAGAUAUAACUGACGCUGAGGGACGAAAGCGUGGGGAGCGAACA
rnacentral:rRNA from 1 species